GGAAUUUAUAACGGCUUCGAGCGCACCUCAUUAACUCAUAAGUGAUAGUCUUACCUUUAAUAAAAACCAUUUUAUCUGUCUGAAGAGCAUAAUACUACUGGAAAUCUUUUAAAAUGCUCUGCACACAAUAUUGCUGAUCCAACAGUACAGUCAUAAAACAGCAGUUUUAUCAAAGCUCCUGUCACUGUUAUGACCUACCUGAAGACUGAUGCUUGACUUGCUGGGUAAUUUUGCCGUAAAGUUUACAGAAUGCUGCUCCCAUCCCACUAAAGUAU